CAGUAGCCGCGGUAAUACGAGGGGUGCAAGCGUUAUUCGGAUUGAUUGGGUGUAAAGGGUGUGCAGACGGCUUAUUAAGUCACCUGUUAAAUUCUUCGGCCUAACUGAAGGUCUGCAAGUGAUACUGAUGAGCUAGAGGGUGGAAGAGAGAAGUGGAAUUCUCGGAGUAGCGGUAAAAUGCGUAGAUCUCGAGCGGAACACCAAUGGCGAAGGCAGCUUCUUGGUCCAUUCCUGACGUUCAUACACGAAAGCGUGGGGAGCAAACAGGAUUAGAUACCCGCGUAGUCCCUGUCUCUUAUAC
rnacentral:rRNA from 1 species